GGGGUGGUCCAUCAGCUAAUGAUAUCUGUGUAUAUAUCAAAGGAUGGAAAGGGGGAAAGGGGCUACUGAGGAUCUAUUGGAUAGUGUGGGGCCUGAGCAUGAUGUAAAUGGUAUGGAAUAAGGAGUGAAGAAUGUGCUUGUUUUGGCUGGGAUAGAGUUCAUUUUCUUCAUAGUAGCUAGUAUGGUGCUUUGGUUUGGAUUUAUGAUGAAAACACUGAUGAUAAAACACUAAUGAUUGUGCUUCCUGGUGUGGUACAGGCAAUGCCUGCAGCAUGACAGAGGAGGAAGGAUGAGCACUCUCACUGUUGGCUAGCCACUCUGUGCCCUGAACAGCUCUGAAGCCCCAGCUGGCACCCACGUGUCCAUGCUGGACCAGAAGAUAGUAAUCUCCAGCCUGCUGACAUUUCCUGCUCCAUCCUCUCAUAGAUUAGACCUUGCCUUUAACAUUAGGGGUGACGAAAGGCAGAGGGAUGAUGCUUGCAGUAAGUGAAAAGGUUAAAGUGUCUCUAGGACUUCUAUAAUUCUGCUGCCCUGUGACUUCCCGAAUUUGCAAGUGUCAUUACAAUUUAAUGUCAAGAGAAGAGUUUAUUUUGGGGAGAAGUUCAUUUGGUCUGUGAGGAAAAAAUGAAUUUUGGUUUGUGUUGGGUUGGGUCAAAGACGUGCUUUUGUGAAAUACUGGAGAGGGUGUUCUAUUACACCUACGUUUUAUUGUGGGAGGAGGGUAUAUUAUCUUUGAUUAUGGGGAAAUUGGUUAUACCUAGUAAAGGAAGGUGUGAUUAGAAAUGAUUCGUACAGAAAAGUAAGAACUGUUUUACCUAAAGACGGAACUUCACUGUGGGCCAUAAAAAAAAGCAGUAGGGUUUUGACUAGAAACACAAGAAGGGACAGUCUGUAGGGAAGACCAUGCAGAAGCAGCAAGAAAAGGCAAUGUUUUCCUUUCUCCUCCCAAACCUGAACAUUACUGGUGGUACCUGCAUUCACAGAAAUUUGAAAGGCAGGCAAUUCCCAAGGUUGCCAAAGGGAAGAGGCACCCUUGCAAAUCAAACCUUGAAUAAGCACUUGUAAUGAAAAGACCAUAAGACCAACUUCAAUAGUCCAUAUAUAGAAAAUCUUGAGUUUCUGAAUCCUCGUAACACACUCUCAGUGAGGAAAUGUUAUCGGGCUGAAAAAGUUCAUUUACAGAGCAGAGAAUAGGGAUUUAUGCAAAGCCAACAGAGACGUGUAGCAGUUACAACAGAUGCAGAAAUCAAGAGGCAAUAACUGCAUACAGGGAACUUCAGUAGUAACAGUCAGUGUAAGGUCAUUUGUGGACUUAGCCACAAAGUUUCCAUUCUGCUGUAAAUUCUUUAGUUUGGGAGUGCUGAGACAUGGUCUCUUGUUGGUUCAUCUAAUUAUACAAUGAACAGCUGUGAAGUUUUUAUUUGGAUUAAAAUUUCCCUGGAACUCAAGGUAAUUUAGAUCUGAGGUUUUGGCUCUGGUCCCUUCCCAGCUUGUACUCAAUAUAAAUUACUGGCCUAGAACCAUGACAUGUUCAAUUUAUCCUCCAUUUUAGAUGGUUGAAAAGUGCAUGCAUAAUUCUGUGCAUGCCACACUUUCUGUAAUCCACUGUGACAAACAGACCAAAUGACUGGAACUGCUAGGUAAGACACUGUAUUUUAGUCACAAACCCACCUUCAGUUUAAAUACCAGGCAAAAAUGACAUUUGAAUUAUUUGAUUUGAAUCAAUGCCAAAUUCAAUCUUGUGCAAACUCAGAAAGAGAGAGGGGAAAAAAAGAGUCUUGGAAUAAACCCAUUGAUUUAUGCGUGGGAACAUAAGGCAAUAACAAGCAGCAAUUGAUUCAAUUGUAAUGACAAGAGUGGGCCACCAUGAAAAAUAUGACAACUUUUCACUGGAGCUACUGUGACUGAGGGAUUGGGAACAGGGCAGUAUUUUCACACACACAUAAUGACUACAAGAAAAGUAGACUUGGGGACCAGCAUUCCCAAUUACACCUUCUAUCAAAAACAUUGGUCAAGCUCUGUAUGCAACACUCCACUCACACUGCUGUGAAGUUCUCCAUUGCUCAGUAAAAUGGAGGAUGACAUAUACUCCUGUUCUGAGAGAAAUACGUAUAUCUUCAUGAUCUAAUUCCAAAUAACUAUGUUAAAUUAAGAGCUGUAUCCAGAAAUGAUGAACCUUGGUGUAGAGUUUUGAUCUUCAGAGUCCAUCUGGUGUGCCCGUUAUUGUUGUAAGCUCAGGUGCAGGGAGGCAGUGUCACCUGAGCACCCCCCAGGGAGAAAGUAGGACUGCCUAGAAUUUUGUCAGUCUUCACAUCCAACAGGGAUAAUGCUUUCCAGGAUUAUUUUAUACUCUGAAAUAUUACUGUUUUUCUUAGGGCUUUUUCUACUAUGUAUCAAGCCUUUUUAAUAAGGCCAUGUUUCAUAACCAAAUCUAGGGGUUCAGCUCAGGAAGUAGCCAAGACAACUUUUUAGCUAUACCUACUAUUUCCACUACUCAACUGAACGAAAGAAAAAAGACUUGCUUAGAGAGAUUGUUACUGUGGUUCUCUUAGCCCACUGGUACUCAGAGAGCCUCUAAAUGAACCUACUCUGAAGGUACACACAGAAAGGUCCAACUCUGUGUAGCAACGAUUUUGUCCUCAGCCAGAGACCUAUCCUCUAAUUUGAUGCUUCUCAGUGGAAUUAUUUUUCUCUGAAUCAUCAUGCCAAACAGUUGUCUGCUUUGUUGUUUUUUUUUAUAGGAAGGCACCUGUUCAAUUUUAGACACUGUUCAGCCUGUUCCACUCCAGUGGUCUGCACUGCUCCUCUGAGAGCCCUGAGCUUUUCACAUGUUUCAGGCUGCCAGCUCUCUUAUGUGAUUUUCCCCAGCAGCCAAUUUUGCUCUAAAGCUCUUGCGACUGAGCCAGCUUCCAUUCCUUCAUAAAGGGAUACCCUCUUGUUAUUGCAAUUGAGGAGUUCCAUAAGAGACUUUUAAUGUCUCCGGAGUGCUGUUAUGUACGAUAAAAUCUUGAAUUAAGCUUUACCUAACACUUGUUCAUGCAAUACUCAAUUACUGACAAAUUGCAUUUGUUUCUGCAGUUGACAAAUACUUUUAGGUUUAUUUCUAGUACCGCAAGUACAUGGCCAGAUUUAUACAGGACUGAAUAAAAUGUUACGUGCUCUCUUUGAGUAGCAGGAGCAGCUCAAAGCCUGAAAUCACUACAGUAUGUACACUGCCAUCUUGUGUUCUGAAGUUCUAGAUAAUAUAAAGAUGCACACUGUACAUAUCGCUUUCCACAAAACAGGAGCUAGCUGUAUGAGUGGAAUAUACGAGGUUAUCAGAAGAUGUUUACUGUCUUUUUCUUUUCUU